UCAAGUUUUGAAUGGAGAUCAGAGGAUAACUUGAAUCCAUUGGGAGAUGAAACUCUUACAUGUUAAACACUUCAAGAACACCUUUCAGUAGAGGAUAACUAAACUACGAUCAGCCCUUUCGUGAAAGAAUAAUAUGGCUGUAAACUUUGCUGAACUCCAAAAAUUUCGACAAAAUGCUGUGUUCUAAUCUGUCUGCAAAAAUUUAUUUACGCUUCAAAUGAACAAUAUGACAAUUGGAGGUCGACCCCAAAAGAAAAUCUGAGCUAGACAGAUGGUUUAAUGUUUGUUUUUGAAGGUUAAGCAAGUUUUAAGGAAAUGGCAAAUCGUUUGAAGAGUGUACAGAGGGUAUUUUUGCACCAUACUCGACUAGCAUGGAAAUCCUUCGGUUUCAUGGUGUUUUUCAAAGGGCUCCUACUCAAAGAUCAAUGGCUACAGAAGCACCAUCUUCCAUUGAAAGAAUGGCUGUGUACCUGCAGCAGAACACAUAAGUAAUGAAAUCUUCAUUCUUAUCUACUCUCUUAUAAGUUAUAGCAUUUACAAAAAAU